GGCCAGACUCCUACGGGAGGCAGCAGUGGGGGAUAUUGCACAAUGGGGGGAACCCUGAUGCAGCAAUGCCGCGUGAAGGAUGAAGGUUUUCGGAUUGUAAACUUCUUUUGUACGGGACGAAGAAAGUGACGGUACCGUAAGAAUAAGCCACGGCUAACUACGUGCCAGCAGCCGCGGUAAUACGUAGGGAGCAAGCGUUGUCCGGAAUUACUGGGCGUAAAGGGCGCGUAGGUGGGCGCUUAAGUCAGGUGUGAAAACUCCGGGCUCAACCUGGAGACUGCACUUGAAACUGGGUGUCUUGAGGGCAGGAGAGGAAAGUGGAAUUCCUAGUGUAGCGGUGAAAUGCGUAGAUAUUAGGAGGAACACCAGUGGCGAAGGCGACUUUCUGGACUGUACCUGACGCUGAGGCGCGAAAGCGUGGGUAGCGGACGGGAUUAGAUACCCGCGUAUC
rnacentral:rRNA from 1 species